rnacentral:rRNA from 1 species
ACAGCAGCCGCCGCGGGAAUACGAAGGGUGCAAGCGUUAAUCGGAAUUACUGGGCGUAAAGCGUGCGUAGGCGGUGAGUUAAGUCUGCUGUGAAAUCCCCGGGCUCAACCUGGGAAUGGCAGUGGAUACUGGCUCGCUAGAGUGUGUCAGAGGAUGGUGGAAUUCCCGGUGUAGCGGUGAAAUGCGUAGAGAUCGGGAGGAACAUCAGUGGCGAAGGCGGCCAUCUGGGACAACACUGACGCUGAGGCACGAAAGCGUGGGAAGCAAACAGGAUUAGAUACCCGCGUAGUCCCUGUCUCUUAUAC